rnacentral:rRNA from 1 species
GGGCCAGUAGGUUGGUCGUGCCACCGGUACGUACUGGUCUCACUGAUUCCUCCUUCCUGAAGAACCGUAAUGCCAUUAAUUUGGUGUUGCGGGGAAACAGGACUGUUACUUUGAAAAAAUUAGAGUGUUUAAAGCAAGCUAACGCUUGAAUACAUUAGCAUGGAAUAAUGAAAUAGGACGAUCGAUCCUAUUUUGUUGGUUUCUAGGAUUGACGCA